AUGCAGAUCUGGGAGGGGAUCAAAAUCCCUAGCCGCAUCUCCAUUGCAAUCAGGCCUGACAUCUCCAUCUCCCUCACCCUCCUUCUCCACCUCCGGCCGCCGCCACGGCCAGGCCGGCGUGGUGCACCACUUCCCAUGAGCCGCACCUCACACCACCACCAGCACCGCGCCAUCUCCAUCUUCGCCGCCGCGCCACCGCUCGCACAAUCUCUUCUUCCCUUGCUGCUCCUUCCUUCUCCUCACCACGCUGCUGCUUCCCCUCUCACGCCCCUGGUACUGCUCCUUCUCACGUUCCUGCUGCUGCUGCUCGUCUUGUGCCCCUGGUGCUACUCCUCCUUCCCUCGUCCUUGCUGCUGCUCUCUCCCUCUCUGUUGCUCUUCUCUAAAUCCCCUAGUGCUGCUACUCCACUUCCUCUGCUCCCCUUCUUCUUCUCUGAAUCUCGCUGCUGCUGCUCCUCCUCUUAAAACUGCUGCUGCUCCCUCUCCCACUUUCCUCGCUGCUGUUCCCUCUCUCUUCUCACCAAAAUUGUUGUUGUCCUAUUCUCCAUUUGCUUGCUGCUACACCCUUCCUGAAGCUCUCUCAAUCCCUCUCUGCUCGCCGCCAUUUCACGCCGGAGCAGAGACCCGCCGCCGUGCCAUUGCUGCCCUGCCGCCCCACCGCAACCCCCUCACCGCCAACCGAGCGCACCACUCUAACCCCCUCGCUCCCCUGGUUCUCCCCGACCACCGCCCCAAGCUCGAAGCCCCCGUGAACCCAGUUCCCCAUCACCACCGACGGCCACCGCCGCUGUAUCACUCACCGCCGCCGUCUUUGUCAUCCCUGAGCCACGGCGAGGCUCUCCACGUGCUCGUCGUCCUCACAUGUGUCGACCAGAGCCUUCUCCGACGUGUGGAACCAAUGAGAGACGUCGCCCAUAUCGACACGAGUCACCCCGUCGCCGACGACCUCGCGGAAGAUCUUAAGUGCCGCCGCUGUACGAUAUACCGGUUUCUAAGCCCCACCACGCCCUCGAUCCUUUUAUAUCACGCGCAAGCGCCUCUCGCCCUCCUUGGCCGCCACAUCGCCUCCUCCGGUCGCUCCUCCGGCCGCUCGUCUGCCGUCGCCGCCUUCGAUCCCUCCUUGCACCCAGCUAGCGAGCCGCCGACUGCACCGCUCGUCCACAUCGGCAGCAAACUCCUUGAUCCCGCUGCGGCGCUCGCCCCCGUCCCCGUUGGCGUCAUGGUCGUCGUCCACAUGGACCCCACCUACGUUGCCAGAGCUGGUGGGUCCUUCCCGUCACUCGACAUCCUUGCGACCAAGGGGAUCUGGCGUCUCCUCGCCGGAUGCCGUUGGCUGGUGCGCUUCGGUGAUUGCGGCAAGCGAGCGCCGAGAAAUGAGAAAGGUCGCUUGCGACACAUGCAGCAGCGCGAGGAUGCGAUGGAGGAGACUGAUGAUGCGACAAGCCUUCAGUGGACAGCACCUUCGUCGGUGCCAACCUCUGUACAUAAAUUGCGGCUAUACCGGCCAGUUUCCAAUCCGUUGCAAUAG
rnacentral:rRNA from 1 species